rnacentral:rRNA from 1 species
GAUGAACGCUGGCGGCGUGCCUAAUACAUGCAAGUCGAGCGAAGCGGGGGCGGGUGAGUAACAGGUGUAUAACCUCCUCUAAGACUAGGAUCAGUUCGGGAAACCGGAGCUAGACCGGCUACUAGUAGGUGGUUCUGGGCUGCAUUAGCUAGUUGGUAAGGUAACGGCUUACAAAGGCAACGAUGCAUAGCUGACCUGAGAGGGUGAUCAGUCACACUGGAACUGAGACACGGUCCAGACUCCUACGGGAGGCAGCAGUAGGGAAUCUUCCGCAAUGGGCGAAAGCCUGACGGAGCAACGCCGCGUGAGUGAUGAAGGUCUUCGGAUCGUAAAACUCUGUUAUUAGGGAAGCGGUACCGAAUCAGAAAGCCACGGCUAACUACGUGCCAGCAGCCGCGGUAAUUC